UCUCAGGUUUAGGGUUUUUGCAGGUUAAAGCGUUUUCUCUGUCUCUCCCUCUCUCAAGAUUGCAGUUUUUGGAAUUUAUUUGUCGUGCUGUGGAAGGGGGAAUCUCAGAGGCGGAUAGUGAGAGAUGUUGGACAUCAAUUUGUUCAGGGAAGAGAAGGGCAACAAUCCUGAAAUCAUUCGUGAGUCUCAACGCCGCCGAUUUGCCAGCGUUGAACUCGUUGAUGAAGUAAUUAGGCUUGACAAGGAAUGGCGUCAACGCCAAUUUGAGCUUGAGAAUCUCAGGAAGGAGUUCAAUAAGAUCAACAAGCAAAUUGCUCAGCUCAGAAUAGCUGGUGAGGAUGCGUCGGAGAAGAUUAAAGACACUGAAGAAAACAAAAAGUUGUCUGCUGAGAAAGACGUUGAAGCUAAGGAUGUGUUAAAACAGUUGAAUUCAAAAUUGGAAAUAAUUGGAAACCUUGUGCACGAUUCCGUUCCCGUCAGCAAUGAUGAGGCUAAUAAUGCUGUAAUCAGAUCGUGGGGUGAGAAACUGGUAAAACCAAAACUAAAGAAUCAUGUUGAUCUUGUUGAGCUUCUUGGAAUUGCAGAUAGCAAAAAAGGUUCUGAAAUAGCAGGUGGUAGAGGCUACUACCUCAAAGGAGAUGGUGUGCGUUUGAACCAAGCUUUGAUCAAUUAUGGCCUCGACUUUUUAGAGAAAAGGGGUUACACAGCAAUGCAGACUCCUUUCUUCAUGAGAAAAGAUAUCAUGGCUAGAUGUGCUCAACUAGCACAAUUUGAUGAAGAACUUUAUAAAGUAACUGGUGAGGGGGAUGAUAAGUAUCUAAUUGCCACUGCUGAACAACCAAUUUGUUCAUAUCAUCUUGAAGAUUGGAUUCAUCCUUCCCAGUUGCCUAUAAGAUAUGCUGGGUAUUCAACUUGCUUCCGCAAAGAAGCGGGUUCCCAUGGUCGAGAUACUCUUGGAAUUUUCCGAGUUCACCAAUUCGAGAAAAUAGAGCAAUUUUGUGUCACCAGCCCAAAUGGCAAUGAUUCGUGGGACAUGCAUGAAGAGAUGAUUAAGAAUUCUGAGGACUUCUACAAGACGUUAAAUCUCCCAUACCAAGUUGUGGCUAUAGUUUCUGGUGCAUUAAAUGAUGCGGCUGCCAAGAAAUACGAUCUGGAAGCAUGGUUUCCUGCAUCCCAGACUUACAGGGAGUUAGUAUCCUGUUCAAAUUGCACUGAUUAUCAGUCCAGAAGAUUAGAGACCCGAUUUGGUCAGAAAAAGAGCAACGAGCAGACAAAGCAAUAUGUGCACAUGCUGAAUUCCACGCUCACAGCAACAGAAAGGACUUUGUGCUGCAUUCUUGAGAACUACCAGAAAGAAGAUGGGGUGGAGAUACCAGAAGUUCUACAACCAUUUAUGGGUGGAAAAACUUUUAUGCCCUUCAAGGCGAAACCAACAACAAGCGAUGCCAAAGGGAAGAAAUCGAAGGCCUGAUUGCAUAAUUUUCUUCUCUCCCAUUUGAUUUAUAAAAUUUCUGACUCAAGGAAAGGAUAUAUUACUCACAGUAUUGUUGGAACUUCAAAUUAUCUUUUUGGUGGGCAUGGAGUUAUAUUACACUAAUAACAGAUGGCUGUUCUUAUUUAUAUGCUUCAAUUGGCUGCCAAUCGUUUUCAUCAACCCUGUCAAGCAAGCCCAAAGCUGAGUCCAGUAAUGAAAUUCAUGGACCACUCCCACAUGGUCUGGAAACUCUUAUUUAGAAAAUUCAGAUUAUUAGGUUUGAGAUGAGAUAUUGCUAUUCAACGCUGUUUUGGUAUAUUAUAACUUUAUAGCUCUAUCGUUAUCGUUUGAUACAUGGGAAGCGUUUUCAAUAGUUUUCUUGGGAAAAAUUGGAAGUCAACAUUAGUUUUAUGCAAUUUUACCAUUUUGGAGUUUC